rnacentral:rRNA from 1 species
CCUACGGGUGGCAGCAGUGGGGGAUAUUGCACAAUGGGGGAAACCCUGAUGCCGCGACGCCGCGUGUGGGAAGACGGUCCUCUGGAUUGUCAACCACUGUCCCCAGGGACCAAGAUGACGGAACCUGCCGCGGAAGCUCCGGCUAACUACGUGCGAGCAGCCGCGGUAAUACGUAGGGCGCGAGCGUUGUCCGGAAUUACUGGGUGUAAAGGGAGCGUAGGCGGGGAUGCAAGUUGGGGGUCAAAACUACCGGCUCAACUGGUAGUCGCACUCAAAACUGCAGCUCUUGAGUGACGGAGAGGCAGGCGGAAUUCCUAGUGUAGCGGUGAAAUGCGUAGAUAUUAGGAGGAACACCAGUGGCGAAGGCGGCCUGCUGGGCUGUUACUGACGCUGAGGCUCGAAAGUGUGGGGAGCAAACAGGAUUAGAUACCCCAGUAGUC